UUUAAGCCAUAUUUUUUAAAC
rnacentral:piRNA from 1 species